GCGCGGUUAGUUUAGUGGUUAGAAUUCUCGCUUCCCAAUUCCCACAUUGGAUCAGCGAGGGACCCGAGUUCGAACCUCGGAUCGCGCA